GCCAUCUGGCCUAAUACUGACGCUGAGGUACGAAAGCAUGGGGAGCAAACAGGAUUAGAUACCCUGGUAGUCCAUGCCGUAAACGAUGUCUACUAGCCGUUGGGGCCUUUGAGGCUUUAGUGGCGCAGCUAACGCGAUAAGUAGACCGCCUGGGGAGUACGGUCGCAAGACUAAAACUCAAAUGAAUUGACGGGGGCCCGCACAAGCGGUGGAGCAUGUGGUUUAAUUCGAUGCAACGCGAAGAACCUUACCUGGCCUUGACAUACUAAGAACUUUCCAGAGAUGGAUUGGUGCCUUCGGGAACUUAGAUACAGGUGCUGCAUGGCUGUCGUCAGCUCGUGUCGUGAGAUGUUGGGUUAAGUCCCGCAACGAGCGCAACCCUUUUCCUUAUUUGCCAUCGGGUAAUGCCGGGAACUUUAAGGAUACUGCCAGUGACAAACUGGAGGAAGGCGGGGACGACGUCAAGUCAUCAUGGCCCUUACGGCCAGGGCUACACACGUGCUACAAUGGUCGGUACAAAGGGUUGCUACCUCGCGAGAGGAUGCUAAUCUCAAAAAGCCGAUCGUAGUCCGGAUCGCAGUCUGCAACUCGACUGCGUGAAGUCGGAAUCGCUAGUAAUCGCGGAUCAGAAUGCCGCGGUGAAUACGUUCCCGGGCCUUGUACACACCGCCCGUCACACCAUGGGAGUUUGUUGCACCAGAAGUAGGUAGUCUAACCGUAAGGAGGACGCUUACCACGGUGUGGCCGAUGACUGGGGUGAAGUCGUAACAAGGUAACCA
rnacentral:rRNA from 1 species